rnacentral:misc_RNA from 1 species
GAUGAAGAACGUAGCGAAAUGCGAUAAGUAAUGUGAAUUGCAGAAUUCAGUGAAUCAUCGAAUCUUUGAACGCACAUUGCGCCCGCCAGUAUUCUGGCGGGCAUGCCUGUCCGAGCGUCAUUUCAACCCUCGAACCCCUCCGGGGGGUCGGCGUUGGGGAUCGGCCCUUUCACCGGGUGCCGUCCCCCAAAUACAGUGGCGGUCUCGCCGCAGCCUCUCAUGCGCAGUAGUUUGCACACUCGCACCGGGAGCGCGGCGCGUCCACGUCCGUAAAACACCCCAAACUUCUGAAAUGUUGACCUCGGAUCAGGUAGGAAUACCCGCUGAACUUAAGCAUAUCAAUAAGCGGAGA